AGGAUUGCUUGGGCAAAUUUCCAG
rnacentral:misc_RNA from 1 species